GUAACACACUUCAAAGAUAGAAAACACCUACUUUCAAGUGCUAUCCUGCUGCAGCAGCAAUAUAGAUGGCAGACAGGACUUUCUAUGCCCUUUGAACACUGAUGUUCUUGAGGUGAACCCUGACAAAACUGAAGAGAAAUGAACAGACCACAGAGCUCAAGGUAUUAGAUUUCAUUUUUGUGAAGGGAGUGGAAUACCUAAAAGAGAGUUGGAAUACACGUUGACAACUGACAGAGAUGUAUCGAUUCAAGAGUGGGUUAAAGUCUAACAUGGUACAACAUUUAGAUGUGAACCAUCUUGUCUUACCGGCCCAGACUCCACCAUCAGUUAGAUGUGCACCAGCCUGAAAGACCAUCUGCUUUUGAGGACCUCGAUUCCAUUUCCAGCUCUACAUCAUGUUCACACUUCAUUGACA